GGCAAGGGGGUCAUCCCGACUUACCAACCCGAUGCAAACUGCGAAUACCGGAGAAUGUUAUCACGGGAGACACACGGCGGGUGCUAACGUCCGUCGUGAAGAGGGAAACAACCCAGACCGCCAGCUAAGGUCCCAAAGUCAUGGUUAAGUGGGAAACGAUGUGGGAAGGCCCAGACAGCCAGGAUGUUGGCUUAGAAGCAGCCAUCAUUUAAAGAAAGCGUAAUAGCUCACUGGUCGAGUCGGCCUGCGCGGAAGAUGUAACGGGGCUAAACCAUGCACCGAAGCUGCGGCAGCGACGCUGAUGCGUUGUUGGGUAGGGGAGCGUUCUGUAAGCCUGUGAAGGUGUGCUGUGAGGUAUGCUGGAGGUAUCAGAAGUGCGAAUGCUGACAUAAGUAACGAUAAAGCGGGUGAAAAGCCCGCUCGCCGGAAGACCAAGGGUUCCUGUCCAACGUUAAUCGGGGCAGGGUGAGUCGACCCCUAAGGCGAGGCCGAAAGGCGUAGUCGAUGGGAAACAGGUUAAUAUUCCUGUACUUGGUGUUACUGCGAAGGGGGGACGGAGAAGGCUAUGUUGGCCGGGCGACGGUUGUCCCGGUU
rnacentral:rRNA from 1 species